rnacentral:rRNA from 1 species
CCUACGGGAGGCAGCAGUGGGGAAUAUUGGGCAAUGGGCGCAAGCCUGACCCAGCAACGCCGCGUGAAGGAAGAAGGCUUUCGGGUUGUAAACUUCUUUUGACAGGGAAGAGUAGAAGACGGUACCUGUCGAAUAAGCCACGGCUAACUACGUGCCAGCAGCUGCGGUAAUACGUAGGUGGCAAGCGUUGUCCGGAUUUACUGGGUGUAAAGGGCGUGUAGCCGGGUUGACAAGUCAGAUGUGAAAUCCUGCGGCUUAACCGCAGAACUGCAUUUGAAACUGUUGAUCUUGAGUACUGGAGAGGCAGACGGAAUUCGGGGUGUAGCGGUGAAAUGCGUAGAUAUUAGGAGGAACACCAGUGGCGAAGGCAGUCUGCUGGACAGCAACUGACGGUGAGGCGCGAAAGCGUGGGGAGCAAACAGGAUUAGAUACCCCAGUAGUC